CUGGUGUAUUUGGAGCAUCAUGUCGCCACGAGGUUCCACUGAUAUUUCUUAACAUGACACAUGGAGAAAGAAAACUGGAGAAGGAAUCCCAAAAGGACUUUCCCUGGCGGUACCAGCAUUUCAUGUGUAUGGGCAUAAACUGCAGUGUCAGAUCAUGUACAGCACGCGACGAGUUCCUGGAUUUGGACUAACAGAUGGUGAAUGCAUGGAGAGGUUAUGGUCGUUUUUGAGAAGAUUUUCUCGAGUGACUAAAGAGAUGACUCCCUCCCAUCGCCUUGACCUUCUCACAGACGCACUCCUGUACUAUGGUAGAAGAAAAUCUGCAGAUCUAGAUGUGCAGCUUCUUCAGAGGUGGGACAAAGCCGAGAAGAUUGCGAGUUUUGCUGAGGAAGAGAUUUCUGCAGUUUUGAAAGAGUCACCGAGUAAGCUUGUCUUAAUUGAAACCUUUUGAUUGCAAAAAAAGUUUUGUAUUCAUUUAUUUAUUUUUCCUUUGUCCAAAGUAAGCAUUUCUGAA